CAAAGGCAGGAAGAUCACUUGAGCCCAGGAGUUCAAGACUAGCCUGGGCAACAUUGUUAAAAAUUAGCUAAGCUAAUUUUUAAUCUGCAAACAUCUUUUGCAUUUCUCUAUACCAUCAACAGUUUAAGUCUGAAAAUACUUUAACUUUUUUGCCCAUAUAAUUAGCUUAUAAUUAAUACAUAUUGAAUAUAAUCAAACAUUCCAGAGUUUUAACAAAAUUAAACCAUUAUCACACUCUUGUUCUCACUUUGGAUGUUAUUCAAGAACAUUAAGCUCUCUGACUGUGUCAUUAGAUAUAUUCAGUUUUCCUGCUUGGUAUCUUAAUUAUAGACUGUUUUCCAGUCUAAAGAAGUACCUCUAAUAUUGUAUCAGCCAUCCCUCUCUCCAUGAAGACCAGCCCUGCUCCUUUCACCUAGUCCAGUCACUCAAUAUUUUUUUCUUUUUCAAAAGCUAUGGACUCUACUUUUCCAUGUAGGGUGAUGGGUAACAAGAGAGUUUCUCCUUCACUAUUAUGCAAACACAGACCAAUAUUGUUACUCCUUUUGCAUUUUCUUUGCCUAACAAAUUUCCAUCUGUAUCUUUAGCUGUGGAAGAUCUAGAGGAAGAAUUUACAGAUUGUGAAUAUUAAAAUCCAAACUAAAAGUCUCUUCAUCCAAGUAUGUGAGAAAAAUAUUGGUCAGAAUCUUGUUCAGAAUAGGAGGAAAAGUAUCUGUGGCAUGCGUUAUAGUCUUUCAAUGGGCAGAGUAGUGGUUUGACCACUUACAAAUAUACAAAUAUGGAUUGUACCUUAUUCUCUGUUUUGUCCACAGGUACCAGGGGAAUCUAUACCUGAAGCACUACUGGAGUCAAGGAACUGCAAAGUUUCACAUUUGCUUCUUAGAGGCUAUCCGAGUAGCCAGGCAGCCUUGCUGUCUUCUGACUGGGGAUUUACAGAAUGCAGGAAAAUGAGGCUGAGGUAGAAAGAGUGACUAUACACCCAGCAUGCUGGCUCAGGACUGUAAUCCCACUACUUUUGGAGGCUGAGUUUGGAGGAUUAUUGACAUCAGGAAUUCAAGAUCAGCCUGAACAGUAUAGUGAGACCUCCCCAUGUAUACAACAAAAUUUACAAAACCAGGCUUGCGUAGUGAUUGGAACCUGUAGUCCCAUCUAAUACGGAGGGUGCUCCGGAAGAAUUGCUUGAUCCCAGGAGUUCAAGACUGCAGUGAGCCAUGAUUGCACCAAUGUACUCCAGCGUAAGUGAGAGAAUAAGUCCCUGUCUCUAAAAAGAAAUAAUAAUACUAAUAAUAACAACAAUAAUAAUAAAUGACUACUGCAACUGAAA